UGACCCCGUGCGGGAGAGUCGUCCGGAGCCCAUCCGGAGGACGCCGAAGGAGCAAAUCCUCCCCGGAAUCUCUCAGGCCCCCGUACCGCACGGACGAG
rnacentral:ncRNA from 2 species